GGUUGAAUGGCGCAAUGGUAGCGUGUGGUCCUCCUAUUCAGAAGGAUUAGACUGAGGUUGUGGGUUCGAGUCCCAUUUCAAUCG
rfam:Chaetomium globosum CBS 148.51 scaffold_4 genomic scaffold, whole genome shotgun sequence.